rnacentral:rRNA from 1 species
GACGAACGCUGGCGGCGUGCUUAACACAUGCAAGUCGAACGGAAAGGCCCUGCUUUUGUGGGGUGCUCGAGUGGCGAACGGGUGAGUAACACGUGAGUAACCUGCCCUUGACUUUGGGAUAACUUCAGGAAGCUGGGGCUAAUACCGGAUAGGAGCUCCUGCUGCAUGGUGGGGGUUGGAAAGUUUCGGCGGUUGGGGAUGGACUCGCGGCUUAUCAGCUUGUUGGUGGGGUAGUGGCUUACCAAGGCUUUGACGGGUAGCCGGCCUGAGAGGGUGACCGGCCACAUUGGGACUGAGAUACGGCCCAGACUCCUACGGGAGGCAGCAGUGGGGAAUAUUGCACAAUGGGCGGAAGCCUGAUGCAGCAACGCCGCGUGCGGGAUGACGGCCUUCGGGUUGUAAACCGCUUUCGCCUGUGACGAAGCGUGAGUGACGGAAAUGGGUAAAGAAGCACCGGCUAACUACGUG